rnacentral:rRNA from 1 species
UACGUAGGGUGCGAGCGUUGUCCGGAAUUAUUGGGCGUAAAGAGCUUGUAGGCGGUUUGUCGCGUCUGCCGUGAAAAUCCGGGGCUCAACCCCGGACUUGCGGUGGGUACGGGCAGACUAGAGUGUGGUAGGGGAGACUGGAAUUCCUGGUGUAGCGGUGAAAUGCGCAGAUAUCAGGAGGAACACCGGUGGCGAAGGCGGGUCUCUGGGCCGAUACUGACGCUGAGGAGCGAAAGCGUGGGGAGCAAACAGG